GAUGAAGAACGUAGUGAAAUGCGAUACUUGGUGUGAAUUGCAGAAUCCCGUGAACCAUCGAGUCUUUGAACGCAAGUUGCGCCCGAAGCCAUUAGGCCGAGGGCACGCCUGCCUGGGCGUCACACGUCGUUGCCCCCCCAUCUACUCCUUCGGGAUUGCGGGGGGCGGAUGAUGGCCUCCCGUGCGCCACGCCGCGCGGUUGGCAUAAAUGCCAAGUCCUCGGCGACGCACGCCACGACAAUCGGUGGUUGCGAAACCUCGGUUGCCCGUCGUGUGCGGUCGUCGCGCAUCGAGGGCUCGAAAAAAUUGCCGGGUUCCGGCUCGGCUUUCAACGCGACCCCAGGUCAGGCGGGGUUACCCGCUGAAUUUAAGCAUAUCAAUAAGCGAGGA
rnacentral:misc_RNA from 1 species